rnacentral:rRNA from 1 species
GACGAACGCUGGCGGCGUGCUUAGCACAUGCAAGUCGAACGGAAAGGCCCUGCUUUUGUGGGGUGCUCGAGUGGCGAACGGGUGAGUAACACGUGAGUAACCUGCCCUUGACUUUGGGAUAACUUCAGGAAACUGGGGCUAAUAUCGGAUAGGAGCUCAUGCUGCAUGGUGGGGGUUGGAAAGUUUCGGCGGUUGGGGAUGGAUUCGCGGCUUAUCAGCUUGUUGGUGGGGUAGUGGCUUACCAAGGCUUUGACGGGUAGCCGGCCUGAGAGGGUGACCGGCCACAUUGGGACUGAGAUACGGCCCAGACUCCUACAGGGGACAGCAGGGGGGAAUAUUGCACAAUGGGCGGAAGCCUGAUGCAGCAGCGCCGCGUGCGGGAUGACGGCCUUCGGGUUGUAAACCGCUGUCGCCUGUGACGAAGCGUGAGUGACGGUAAUGGGUAAAGAAGCACCGGCUAACUACGUG